AGCAACUACGUCUGGGGAGGAAACUGAGUCCUCAACAUCCACUAUAGAUCAAGAGUUACAUAUGUGUUUUGAUUACAACAUACCUCUCACACUCAUCUAAUACCCUAGAUUGAGUCUUCACAAGAAACAUAUGAAAGAAAGAAGAAUACUGACAAGAGAUCAAGCCUAGAUACACUAAGAAACUACAUCUCUCUCUAGCGCUUAUUCACGUCUUGGGUACCGCCUGAAAUAGGGUUUGGCUCAGCUCUGC
rnacentral:lncRNA from 1 species